rnacentral:rRNA from 1 species
AGGUCAGCAUACUGCCGUGAAUACGUUCCCGGGCCUUGUACACACCGCCCGUCACACCAUGAGAGUUGGGAAUACCCGAAGCCUGUGAGCUAACAUUUAUGAGGCAGCAGUCGAAGGUAGAAUCAAUGAUUGGGGUGAAGUCGUAACAAGGUAGC